GGCCCGGGACUUCUCUCCGUCAGUCCCGAAUCGCCCACCUCCCCCGGGGUGAGGGGCUGCCUACCCUCUCUCGCGCGCUCCCUCGGCUUUGCCCCCAGUGCCUACCCUCGGCCAGGACCUCGACGCCGUCUCUCUACCGUGCAAAAGCGGGACCUGAGCUGGCGGCAGCCACUGCGCCUGCCCUCAUCAUUCAAACUCAAGGAAUCCAAACGUCUGUUUCUGCUGCACCUGGAUCUAGGGGCUCAAGUCAGUCCACCCUCUAGUGGUCAAGAAGAGAAGUGGCAGCCUCUGCACAUCAGCCAGGUCAGACCUUGAGGAGGUCAGCACAGGGAAAUGCCAAUGUCCUCCCCAACCCAAGUGCCUCAGAUGAUCCUAACUAGUUAUGCAGUAACCUGUGGUGGUCCCAUUUCUUGUGCUCAUGAUUGGUUUAAGGAUCGGGAUGUGACCAGUAUUGGACAAUGAGAGAUGAGAGGAAGUCGGCUGGAAGGCUUCUAGAAAAAGCAUUCCUCACUAUCAAAAAGAGAUGCGCAAAGCGGCAGCUUCUCUUCUGCUGCUGGAUGUUACCGAAUCUGCAUAUGAUAGUAGGAUGACGGCAGCCACCUUGUAGCAAAGAGCAGAGUUUCCUCCAAGAGAACAUUCUACGGGGAGAAGAGGAAACAGCACCAAUGACAUCACUUUGCCUGAGUUCACAAACCCUACAGGUGCUCCCACCCCCUACAUUUUUCCUUGUGUGAGAUAAUAAAUUCCUUAUUAUUUAAGCCA